AUGUCUUUUUGAUUUUGAUUUAAGGUUUAAUCUGCUCAAUGAUUAAUUAAAUUGCCGCAGUAUUUUAACUGUGCUAAGGUAGCAUAAUCAUUAGUUUCUUUAUUGGGAACUGGAAUGAACGAUUGGACGAGAUAAUUUCUGUCUCUUUUUGAAUUGAUUUUUAAUUUUAUUUUUAAGUUAAAAAGCUUAAAUGAUUUUAAAAGACGAGAAGACCCUAUAGAAUUUUACAUUAUAUUGUUUUUAGUAAUUUAUGAGAAUGUUUAUUUGGGGUGACUUGAAGAUUUAAUUAAUUCUUUAAAUUUUUUAUUGAUGAUUAUUAAUUUCAAAUUUUAAUGAUUUUAAGAAUAAAAUAAAUUACCUUAGGGAUAACAGCGUAAUUUUCCUUUUAAGUUCUUAUUUUAAGGGAGGUUUGCGACCUCGAUGUUGGAUUAAAGUUAAUUUUUGGCGCAGUAGCUUAAGAAUUAGGUCUGUUCGACCUUUGAAACUUUACAUGAUCUGAGU
rnacentral:rRNA from 4 species